rnacentral:lncRNA from 1 species
AUGUGGUUUUUGUCUUUGGUUCUGUUUAUAUGCUGGAUUACGUUUAUUGAUUUUCGUACGUUGAACCAGCCUUGCAUCCCAGGGAUGAAGCCCACUUGAUCAUGCUGGAUAAGUGCUCUUGCUUCUCUAGUUCUUUUAAUUGUGAUGUUAGGGUGUCAAUUUUAGAUCUUUCCUGCUUUCUCUUGUGGGCAUUUAGUGCUAUAAAUUUCCCUCUACACACUGCUUUGAACGUGUCCCAGAGAUUCUGGUAUGUUGUGUCCUUGUUCUCGUUGGUUUCAAAGAACAUCUUUAUUUCUGCCUUCAUUUUGUUAUGUACCCAGUAGUCAUUCAAGAGCAGGUUGUUCAGUUUCCAUGUAGUUGAGUGGUUUUGAGUGAGUUUCUUAAUCCUGAGUUCUAGUUCGAUUCACUGUGGUCUGAGAGACAGUUUGUUAUAACUUCUGUUCUUUUACAUUUGCUGAGGAGUGCUUUACUUCCAACUAUGUGGUCAAUUUUGGAGUAGGUGUGGUGUGGUGCUGAAAAGAAUGUAUAGUCUGUUGAUUUGGGGUGGAGAAUUCUGUAGAUGUCUAUUAGGUCCGCUUGGUGCAGAGCUGAGUUCAAUUCCUGGAUAUCCUUGUUAACUUUCUGUCUCGUUGAUCUGUCUAGUGUUGACAGUGGGGUGUUAAAGUCUCCCAUUAUUAUUGUGUGGGAAUCUAAGUCUCUUUGUAGGUCACUAAGGACUUGCUUUAUGAAUCUGGGUACUCCUGUAUUGGGUGUAUAUAUAUUUAGGAUAGUUAGCUCUUCUUGUUGAAUUGAUCCCUUUACCAUUAUGUAAUGGCCUUCUUUGUCUCUUUUGAUCUUUGUUCGUUUAAAGUCUGUUUUAUCAGAGACUAGGAUUGCAACCCCUGCCUUUUUUUGUUUUCCAUUUGCUUGGUAGAUCUUCCUCCAUCCCUUUAUUUUGAGCCUGUGUGUGUCUCUGCACGUGAGAUGGGUUUCCUGAAUACAGCACACUGAUGGGUCCUGACUCUAUCCAAUUUGCCAGUCUGUGUCUUUUAAUCGGAGCAUUUAGUGCAUUUACAUUUAAGGUUAACAUUGUUAUGUGUGAAUUUGAUCCUGUCAUUAUGAUGUUAGCUGGUUAUUUUGCUCGCUAGUUGAUGCACUUUCUUCCUAGCCUCGAUGGUCUUUAC